rnacentral:rRNA from 1 species
UACGGAGGGUGCGAGCGUUGUCCGGAAUCACUGGGCGUAAAGGGCGCGUAGGCGGCCUGAUAAGUAGGGGGUGAAAUCCUGCGGCUUAACCGCAGGGCUGCCUUCUAAACUGUCAGGCUUGAGCACAGUAGAGGCAGGUGGAAUUCCCGGUGUAGCGGUGAAAUGCGCAGAUAUCGGGAGGAACACCAAUGGCGAAGGCAGCUCGCUGGGACGGUACUGACGCUGAGACGCGAAAGCGUGGGGAGCAAACAGG